AAUGGAGAAGAGCAAAGUGCAAUCUAAAGUCCCCUCCCAGCUACCUUGUGUCUUUGCGCUAUGCUUCUGUUCCUAUUGGUUGGAGUGCAUAGACGGGAAGCAACUGAGUGGUCUGACUGACGCUUCUAGGGCUUCAGUAUUUCAGAGCAGGCUUAAGAGAAGAGAGAUGUUCAGUGUGUGCUAAUAAACUGAUAUUUUCUGUUGGUGAUUAAGCCAGGAAAGAAGGGAAGAAAAACACUGUUUUGUAUAUAGGAACCAACUAAGAGAUCUCUGGAGUUCCAUAUUUCACAUCUGACAUUAUGAUUAAAUUAUUCACUGUCACUUUGGCUGCUAUAGGAUAUGAAAAAUUUGCGUGGAAAGGUGUAAUAGAACUGCUUAGAACUGGAAUGUUCAUAAUUGGAAUUUACUAUUGCAGGAAAAUAGACAAUAAACUGGGUCAGUGAGAUCACUCCUUUUCCUCUUUUAAUUUUCGACCAAUAUUCUCAGAACAAAAGGAAGUUACCAGUCAUAUUGGUACAUAUGUGUAUGCCUGCACAUAUGUUGUGUGACCUUCAGAAAAAAAUUGAUAAGGGUGAACAGGAUAAAUAUAAGAUUAAACAAGAAAAAGGCAAGUCAAAAAUUGGGGAU
ensembl:lncRNA